CAGCUAGUUGGUAAGGUAACGGCUUACCAAGGCUACGAUGUUUAGGGGAUCUGAGAGGAUGACCCCCCACACUGGUACUGAGACACGGACCAGACUCCUACGGGAGGCAGCAGUAAGGAAUAUUGGUCAAUGGGCGGAAGCCUGAACCAGCCAUGCCGCGUGCAGGAAGACGGCCCUACGGGUUGUAAACUGCUUUUAUACGGGAAUAAACCUUAGUAUGUAUACUAAGCUGAAUGUACUGUAAGAAUAAGGAUCGGCUAACUCCGUGCCAGCAGCCGCGGUAAUACGGAGGAUCCAAGCGUUAUCCGGAUUUAUUGGGUUUAAAGGGUGCGUAGGUGGUUCAUUAAGUCAGGGGUGAAAGACGGCAGCUUAACUGUCGCAGUGCCUUUGAUACUGAUGAACUUGAAUGAACUAGAGGUAGGCGGAAUGUGACAAGUAGCGGUGAAAUGCAUAGAUAUGUCACAGAACACCAAUUGCGAAGGCAGCUUACUAUGGUUUGAUUGACACUGAGGCACGAAAGCGUGGGGAUCAAACAGGAUUAGAUACCCUGGUAGUCCACGCCCUAAACGA
rnacentral:rRNA from 1 species